rnacentral:rRNA from 1 species
UACGUAGGGUGCGAGCGUUAAUCGGAAUUACUGGGCGUAAAGCGUGCGUAGGCGGUUGGCAAAGUCAGCUGUGAAAGCCCCGGGCUUAACCUGGGAAUGGCGGUUGAAACUAGUCGACUUGAAUCUGGCAGAGGGGGGUGGAAUUCCGACGGUGUAGCAGUGAAAUGCGUAGAGAUGUGGAGGAACACCGAUGGCGAAGGCAGCCCCCUGGGCUGAGAUUGACGCUGAGUGAGCGAAAGCCAGGGGAGCAAACGGGGA